rnacentral:rRNA from 1 species
UACAGAGGUCCCGAGCGUUGUUCGGAUUCACUGGGCGUAAAGGGUGCGUAGGUGGUCGGGUAAGUCUGAGGUGAAAUCUCCGAGCCCAACUCGGAAACUGCCUUGGAUACUAUUCGGCUAGAGGGUUGGAGGGGGGACUGGAAUUCUCGGUGUAGCAGUGAAAUGCGUAGAUAUCGAGAGGAACACCAGUGGCGAAGGCGAGUCCCUGGACAACUCCUGACACUGAGGCACGAAAGCUAGGGGAGCGAACGGG